rnacentral:rRNA from 1 species
GACGAACGCUGGCGGCGUGCUUAACACAUGCAAGUCGAACGGUGAAGCGCCUUCCUUUUUGGUGGGUGUGGAUGAGUGGCGAACGGGUGAGUAACACGUGAGUAACCUGCCCCCUUCUUCUGGAUAACCGCAUGAAAGUGUGGCUAAUACGGGAUAUUCUGGGUCUGUCGCAUGAUGGGUCUGGGGAAGAUGUUGUUUCGGUGGGGGAUGGGCUCGCGGCCUAUCAGCUUGUUGGUGGGGUGAUGGCCUACCAAGGCGGUGACGGGUAGCCGGCCUGGGAGGGUGGACGGUCACAGUGGGACGGAGACACGGGCCAGACUCCGACGGGGGGCAGCAGCGGGGAAUAUUGGACAGUGGGAGUGAGGCUGAUGCAGCGACGCGGCGUGAGGGAUGGAGGCCUGCGGGUGGUAAACCUCUGUCGCCAGUGAAGCAGGACUGCCUUGUAUGUGGGGAGGUUGACGGUAGCUGGAUAAGAAGCGCCGGCUAACUACGUG